AGCACACCUGGACAAUCUAUUUUUGCUUAAGUUUAACAUGCUGUCAAAGCUCUUUUUGUAAGAAAAACCGCGGAGAAACUGCGCAACAUGGGCCUGCAAGCAACAAGGUCUUUGGUUGACAUAUAUCAUACUCAAUUUCAUGUAUAUCUUAUGAUAAAUCCGAAUAAACAUGUCUUUAAUUCCU